CAAAAACAUCUCUUUUUGACACAUAAAAAGUACCGUCUGCUCAAUGCAAUUUGUAAAUAGCCGCAGUAUUCUGACUGUGCUAAGGUAGCAUAAUCAUUAGUCUUUUAAUUGAAGGCUGGUAUGAAUGACGAGACGAGAAAAUAGCUGUCUCUAAAAUAAAUCUUGAAUUUUAUUUCUAAGUGAAAAAGCUUAGAUAGUUUUAAAGGACGAUCAGACCCUUUGGAGCUUUAUUUAUUUUAAAUUUUAAUUUAUUUUAGAUUAUUGAAUGAAUAAUAAAUUUUGUUGGGGCGACAGAGAGUAAUAAAUAUCACUCUUUUUUUUAAACAAUUAUAAUUGAAAAAUUGAUCCUUAAAGUAAGAUUAAAAGACUAAGUUACCCUAGGGAUAACAGCGUAAUCUUCUUGGAGAGUUCAAAUCGAUAAGAAGGUUUGCGACCUCGAUGUUGGAUUAAGAGAUUGGCAAGGUGCAGAAGUUUUGUUGGAAAGUCUGUUCGACUUUUAAUUUCUUACAUGAUCUGA
rnacentral:rRNA from 1 species